rnacentral:rRNA from 1 species
UUGACAUCCAGCGAAUUCGGUAGAGAUACCUUAGUGCCUUCGGGAACGCUGAGACAGGUGCUGCAUGGCUGUCGUCAGCUCGUGUUGUGAAAUGUUGGGUUAAGUCCCGCAACGAGCGCAACCCUUAUCCUUUGUUGCCAGCGGUCCGGCCGGGAACUCAAAGGAGACUGCCAGUGAUAAACUGGAGGAAGGUGGGGAUGACGUCAAGUCAUCAUGGCCCUUACGAGUAGGGCUACACACGUGCUACAAUGGCGCAUACAAAGAGAAGCGACCUCGCGAGAGCAAGCGGACCUCAUAAAGUGCGUCGUAGUCCGGAUUGGAGUCUGCAACUCGACUCCAUGAAGUCGGAAUCGCUAGUAAUCGUAGAUCAGAAUGCUACGGUGAAUACGUUCCCGGGCCUUGUACACACCGCCCGUCACACCAUGGGAGUGGGUUGCAAAAGAAGUAGGUAGCUUAACCUUCGGGAGGGCGCUUACCACUUUGUGAUUCAUGACUGGGGUGAAGUCGUAACAAGGUAGGCGUAGACGU